CCUCCAUUCUUGGCAUGCACACUGUUCAUCUGUACUCGUGUGUGUGUGUGUGUUAUGGAGGGAGAACAAGUCCAGUGCUAUGUCUUCGGUGCGAGAAUGUUCCCCGUCUUCUGGUUCUAUCCUCAAUCGCAGGGACAUUC